UUCGGGACGCUGGCGAGUGGCGAACGGGUGCGUAACGCGUGGAAACCUGCCCCGAGGUGUGGGACAACAGUUGGAAACGACUGCUAAUACCGCAUAAGCCUUACGAGGGAAAGGCGCAAGUCGCCUUGGGAGGGGUCCGCGUCGGAUUAGCUAGUUGGUGGGGUAAAGGCCUACCAAGGCGAUGAUCCGUAGCUGGUCUGAGAGGAUGAUCAGCCACACUGGGACUGAGACACGGCCCAGACUCCUACGGGAGGCAGCAGUGGGGAAUAUUGCGCAAUGGGAGAAAUCCUGACGCAGCGAUACCGCGUGGAAU
rnacentral:rRNA from 1 species